AACGAACGCUGGCGGCAGGCCUAACACAUGCAAGUCGAGCGAGACCUUCGGGUCUAGCGGCGGACGGGUUAGUAACGCGUGGGAACGUGCCCUUCUCUGCGGAAUAGCCACUGGAAACGGUGAGUAAUACCGCAUACGCCCUUCGGGGGAAAGAGUUUAUCGGAGAAGGAUCGGCCCGCGUUAGAUUAGAUAGUUGGUGGGUAACGGCCUACCAAGUCUACGAUCUAUAGCUGGUUUUAGAGGAUGAUCAGCAACACUGGGACUGAGACACGGCCCAGACUCCUACGGGAGGCAGCAGUGGGGAAUCUUAGACAAUGGGCGCAAGCCUGAUCUAGCCAUGCCGCGUGUGUGAUGAAGGUCUUAGGAUCGUAAAGCACUUUCGCCAGGGGUGAUAAUGACAGUACCUGGUAAAGAAACCCCGGCUAACUCCGUG
rnacentral:rRNA from 1 species